rnacentral:tRNA from 1 species
GCCUGGCUGGCUUAGUUGAUAGAGCAUGCAACUCUUGAUCUCAAGGUUAUGGGUUCAAGUCCCAUGUUGAGUG